UAAUUUCCGUUGUAUUUUUAAUACACUGAUGCUAUUCUUACACAAAGUAAAAAGGCUGGGUAAGUUGUGGUGGCUCACACCUGUAAUUCCAGCAAUUUGGGAGGCCGAGAUUACAGGCAUGAGUCACUGCUCCCGGCGACCAGCCAAGACUUUUACUUUAUAAAGAUAUUUAUGAUGUUUUCUUUUCUUUUUACAGUACGCAUUGCAUUUAUAAUUGGAGAUACAAAAAAAGGUGACUGUUACUGUUUGACAGCAAGGCAGUAGUAUUAUCUUCAUCAAUAUUUGCAACUUAAUUCGCAGGAACCUG
ensembl:lncRNA novel transcript